AGCAGCCGCGGUAAUUCCAGCUCCAAUAGCGUAUAUUAAAGUUGUUGCAGUUAAAAAGCUCGUAGUUGAAUUUCGGGAUCAAUAUAUCGGUCGUGCCUUUGGUACGUACUGGUAUCAUUGAUUUCUCCUUUCUGACGAAUCAUGAUGUCAUUAAUCUGGUGUUAUGAGGAGUUAGGACUGUUACUUUGAAAAAAUUAGAGUGUUUAAAGCAGGCAUUAGCUUGAAUACAUUAGCAUGGAAUAAUGAAAUAGGACGUUUGACCCUAUUUUGUUGGUUUUUAGGAUCGACGUAAUGAUUAAUAGGGAUAGUUGGGGGCAUUAGUAUUCAAUUGUCAGAGGUGAAAUUCUUGGAUUUAUUGAAGACUAACUACUGCGAAAGCAUUUUGCCAAGGAUGUUUUCAUUAAUCAAGAACGAAAGUUAGGGGAUCGAAGACGAUCAGAUACCGUCGUAGUCUUAACCAUAAACUAUGCCGACUAGGGAUCGGAUGAUGUUAAUUUUAUAAUGACUCAUUCGGCGCCUU
rnacentral:rRNA from 1 species